UACGUAGGGUGCGAGCGUUAUCCGGAUUCACUGGGUUUAAAGGGAGCGUAGGUGGGUUGGUAAGUCAGUGGUGAAAUCCCCGAGCUUAACUUGGGAACUGCCAUUGAUACUAUCAGUCUUGAAUACUGUGGAGGUUAGCGGAAUAUGUCAUGUAGCGGUGAAAUGCUUAGAUAUGACAUAGAACACCAAUUGCGAAGGCAGCUGGCUACACAAUUAUUGACACUGAGGCUCGAAAGCGUGGGGAUCAAACAGG
rnacentral:rRNA from 1 species